rnacentral:rRNA from 1 species
UACGGGGGGGGCAAGCGUUGUUCGGAAUUACUGGGCGUAAAGGGCUCGUAGGCGGCCAACUAAGUCGGAUGUGAAAUCCCCAGGCUUAACCUGGGAACUGCAUCCGAUACUGGAUGGCUUGAAUCCGGGAGAGGGAUGCAGAAUUCCAGGUGUAGCGGUGAAAUGCGCAGAUAUCAGGAGGAACACCAGUGGCGAAGGCGGCACUCUGGGCCGGUACUGACGCUGAGGAGCGAAAGCGUGGGGAGCGAACAGG